rnacentral:rRNA from 1 species
UACAGAGGUGGCAAGCGUUGUUCGGAAUUACUGGGCGUAAAGGGCGCGUAGGCGGCCUUCUAAGUCAGACGUGAAAUCCCCGGCUUAACCUGGGAACUGCGUCUGAUACUGGGAGGCUUGAGUAUGGGAGAGGGAUGUAGAAUUCCAGGUGUAGCGGUGAAAUGCGUAGAUAUCUGGAGGAACACCGGUGGCGAAAGCGGCUCCUGGACCAGUACCGACGUUCAGCACGAA